UCAAACAAAACAAAGGAAAAAAACUAACAUUUUGUUAAAUAAGGACACGGAUAUGAUGUUUGAAUGCUGACAACAGUUUGAUUAAUAUAUCACUUUGACGUUCAGGUCCCAUGAUGGUUUGUGAGCUCCUGCUUUCAUCUAUGUGGUUCCUUUAUGUCAUCUUCUGGGUCGAGACCAUAAGUGUGUGGUUGUUCCUCUGCAUCUUCUACCAGGACCGAGUAUUCUACCUUUGGGGAGAUGGGAGGUUCGCUGAUGAUGAUGAUCCCAGUCAAAUGCUGUACAUUUUGAGCUGGGUGGAUCCCAUAAGACUGUUGCAAACAUGACGGAGUUGAGGAAGGAGACAUGAAGAACAACAUAUCAAGAGCUGAGAUUGGUUCCUGAGCCAUGCGUGUGAAGCGCUCCCGAAGCACACCCUGAAUAAGCCCCUCUGUGUGUCAGUUACCCUCUUGAAGCAUGGUUAUUAUCAGAGUCAGACUUCCAGUGCACAUGAAGUGUAACCAGUGAUGUGGAAACUGCAUAGGAUGAACUGAUGCUGCUUGUUAUAUUGAGGAAGACCAUGAUAACUGUGUCGAGCAAUAAGGAAAUUUAGCGGAGUUUUAUAAAACAUUGUUUUUUCUAUUGGUUUGUUCUUACGUUCAUAAUAGAUGGGAUACUUCCACAUUGUCCUGGUUUGUGUUGUUUAUGUUUGCUUGAAAUGUUCUGGUUUCAACAAAUAGAACAUUGAUGUGUACUUGUACUGUCAUGUCUAAGGACAUUUGUGUAAUUUCUUUGUUCAUAUUUAUUCCAGUUUCCAAAUGUUCAACACGCUGACCAUUCAAACACACAAUAUUUCAAGCUUGCACAUCCUUCAAACUUAAAACAGAAUUUGCACUCCUUGGCAGACAUUUGACAUGUUUACCAUUUGCUUUGAAUGUAACUACCCUUCCUCUCAAUUUUGAUUGGUAUAACUGUAAUAAAUUUGCACUUCUGGAAAAAGAAAUUAAGCAUUUCAUGUUCACCUACCAGGUACAAAUGUUACCAGAGGAUGUAAAAUAUGAUGUAAUUUUACUCUUCUGUACAGCAACUGGGAUAUAAAUGUCCGUUUCUUAUCGUUACAGGAAAUAAAGUCAUUUUUGUUG